UACGUAGGGUGCAAGCGUUGUCCGGAAUUAUUGGGCGUAAAGAGCUCGUAGGCGGUCUGUCGCGUCUGCUGUGAAAACUCGGGGCUUAACCCCCGGGCCUGCAGUGGGUACGGGCAGACUAGAGUGCGGUAGGGGGAGACUGGAAUUCCUGGUGUAGCGGUGAAAUGCGCAGAUAUCAGGAGGAACACCGGUGGCGAAGGCGGGGUCUCUGGGGCCGAUACUGACACUGAGGAGCGAAAGCGUGGGGGAGCAAACAGG
rnacentral:rRNA from 1 species